CAGUAGCCGCGGGAAUACGUAGGUGGCAAGCGUUGUCCGGAAUUAUUGGGCGUAAAGGGCUCGCAGGCGGUUUCUUAAGUCUGAUGUGAAAGCCCCCGGCUCAACCGGGGAGGGUCAUUGGAAACUGGGAAACUUGAGUGCAGAAGAGGAGAGUGGAAUUCCACGUGUAGCGGUGAAAUGCGUAGAGAUGUGGAGGAACACCAGUGGCGAAGGCGACUAUCUGGUCUGUAACUGACGCUGAGGAGCGAAAGCGUGGGGAGCGAACAGGAUUAGAUACCCCCGUAGUCCCUGUCUCUUAUAA
rnacentral:rRNA from 1 species